CUACGGGCGGCUGCAGUGAGGAAUUUUGCGCAAUGGGGGAAACCCUGACGCAGCAACGCCGCGUGAGUGAUGAAGGCUUUCGGGUCGUAAAGCUCUAUCAAGUGGGAAGAACAAACCUGAUGCUAAUACCAGCAGGGACUGACGGUACCACUGAAGGAAGCACCGGCUAACUCCGUGCCAGCAGCCGCGGUAAUACGGGGGGUGCAAGCGUUAUUCGGAAUCAUUGGGCGUAAAGAGCGCGUAGGCGGCCCUUUAAGUCAGAUGUGAAAUCCCGGGGCUCAACCCCGGAAGUGCAUUUGAAACUAUUGGGCUUGAGUAUGGGAGAGGGAAGUGGAAUUCCUGGUGUAGAGGUGAAAUUCGUAGAUAUCAGGAGGAACAUCGGUGGCGAAGGCGACUUCCUGGACCAAUACUGACGCUGAGGCGCGAAGGCGUGGGGAGCAAACAGGAUUAGAUACCCCCGUAGUC
rnacentral:rRNA from 1 species